UACGGAGGGAGCUAGCGUUGUUCGGAAUUACUGGGCGUAAAGCGCGCGUAGGCGGUCCAUCAAGUCAGAGGUGAAAGCCCGGGGCUCAACCCCGGAACUGCCUUUGAAACUAGCGGACUAGAAUCUUGGAGAGGUCAGUGGAAUUCCGAGUGUAGAGGUAAAAUUCGUAGAUAUUCGGAAGAACACCAGUGGCGAAGGCGACUGACUGGACAAGUAUUGACGCUGAGGUGCGAAAGCGUGGGGAGCAAACAGGAUUGAGAAAC
rnacentral:rRNA from 1 species